UUUAGGAUGCUGCCAUGGCUGUCU
rnacentral:siRNA from 1 species